AGUGAACGCUGGCGGCAGGCCUAACACAUGCAAGUCGAACGGCAGCACAGUAAGAGCUUGCUCUUACGGGUGGCGAGUGGCGGACGGGUGAGGAAUACAUCGGAAUCUACUCUUUCGGGGAGGAUAACGUAGGGAAAGUUACGCUAAUACCGGAUAUGACCUACGGGUGAAAGCAGUGGAUCUUUGCACCGUGCGCGACUGAAUUAGCCGAUGCCGGAUUAGCUAGUUGGCGGGGUAAAGGCCCACCAAGGCGACGAUCCGUAGCUGGUCUGAGAGGAUGAUAGGCCACACUGGAGCUGAGACACGGUCCAGACUCCUACGGGAGGCAGCAGUGGGGAAUAUUAGGCAAUGGGCGCAAACCUGACCCAGCGAGACCGCGUGGGUGACGAAGGCGUUCGGGUUGUAAAGCCCUUUUGUUGGGAAAGAAAAGCAGCAGGUUAAUACGCCGCUGUUCUGACGGUACCCAAUGAAUAAGCACCGGCUAACUACGUG
rnacentral:rRNA from 1 species